rnacentral:misc_RNA from 1 species
GUCGCCAUUUUGUUAAUAUUUAGCUCUUCGCACCCUUACCUCCUUGCUAGAAGCACGUGUGCUUGUUUUGCAAUCCACGAUGUCGCACAUUCUUGUGAAAUGGGUGGAGGACGAAAAGUGGGACGUAUAUCCCGUCAGUGCCCUGGCCGACGCGGAUGUGGCCUUCCGCUUAAUAUCCCAGCAGGGAUGCAUCAAACAACUGCGCGGAACGGUUCACCGCGUGAGCUGGAAGGAAGGAGCGCCACCAGCCUUGGCAGAACUUCUUGCCUUCGGAAAUCCACAGCAACUCGAAAAAAAGAGAGCCCGUCUCGUGUCGGAGGCUGCUGCGCAAUCUGAUCUGCCAACAGAAAACAUCAACUCAUGCAGCACCUGUGCUGCUCAGGUAAAGCAGCUUGUCGAAGAGAAUGAGGCUCUCAGAGCUGAAGUAGAGAGGAUGAAGCGGACGGCAGAGGAGCGCGAUCACGUUGCUGAGGCAGCCAAAUUAGUGAAAAGGCUGCGAAAGGCCCUGGGUAACGUCGAAACCAAAACACAACAAGCAGCUGAACCUGUUGUUGCUUGCCCAAAGUUCUCUGCAAGCUCCAAGUCUGGCGACUGUUCCAACAUCCACAUUCUUUGGUAUUUAUGUGUGUGUAGCUCUAGGAGUGUUAGCGAGUGCCACUCAGGCCAAUGGUAACACGUAGUAUGUGAACUUUAUGAGUAGGCAGCUGGCCAAUAAACUGUCGUAUGUUAUUUUAAGGUAUCAAACCUGCGUGAUUCAAGACCCUUGCUAUGAAAUGAAGGAGAAAGGGAACUGAAGGCCCACUUUUGUGAAACACAUUGAUGUGCAACCAACAGAUAUGCCAAGUAUAGCAUAGGGGAAGUUAUUGUUUUUCUUUAAGUGUAGAAAUGAUAAAGGAAAAUGAAAGUGGACGAAAAAAGAUACCGACGAUUACAGUACUCCCUAAUGUGAAAUAUGAGCGCAGCCCUAUACGUGUUUUCAUUUCGCGAUAUUUUCAGGCAAAGAAUGUAGUAGAGUCGGCAAUUGUCGUAUAUCUGAUCUGCGGGUCAAACACGUCGGCUUUUAUACAUGACUCGUCGAAGGUUCCAGUGCAAUCGGUGGUGCCGCUUGGCUUCCAGAAAGUGCUACACAAUCAGAAACAAUUGCUAACCAUGACAAUCGAAACAAGACCAAAAAAGCGCAAGCGAUGGGCUGAUGUGAGCAGACGAUAGUACAAAUCUAGCCGUUCGGCUGAGACCAGACACAAGGACGCAUGGAGUGGACGGGCGGGUCCACAUGAAACCAGUUUCCUGCACGCACGUCACUGAAGGAGCCGCUCUCAUCGGUCUGCGCCGUUCACGGCUCACGCCUUUCAUCUUUUGCUGUUUUGCUCAUUCAAUUGGUUACGCCGCCGCUGAUGUUCACUGCAGUAACCAGGCUAUUAAGAGCUGCGCUCUAAAAACUUGUCGCUGUAAGUCAUGUCAGUAACUGCUGCAGGUUACCGCAUCGUUUCAGUACUUCAAACUGCUAUUUGUUCCUAGAUAUGAAGCUGCCAGCAAAUUCUCAAUCUCUUGCUUACAGAAGUUUAUGCGCUAACUGCCAAAUGAUUUUUUUUUUAUGCUCCCAGGUCGACAUAGGGGGGGGCGUCACUGUGGAGAAAGGCACGCUCGAAAAACUGAGCCGUGCCUGUGAGAGUGGCCCUGGCAAAUUUGCCAGGGCUCUUUUGCGAAUUGUUUUUACAGAGGAUGAGCUGCGAGGAAGGACACUGCUGGGUGGCAGGAGUAAUUUACACAUUGACCAGCCACUGAAGGAGGCCUUGGACCCUGUUCGUGUUCAAGCUGUGAUUGACUACACAUGCUCCAAGUUUCCUUCGGCCAGCAUCUCCUACAUAAAGAACAGCCUGUCCUCAAUGCUCGCAAGGGAGUUGAAAGAAUAAUUGACAAAUAAACUGCAGAGCCAUUGUAUGU